GCCAUCAUAGCUCAGUGGGCAGAGCACCUGCUUGGAAUGCAGAAUGUUCCAGGUUCCAUCCCUUGUGGCAUCUCCAGGUA